rnacentral:rRNA from 1 species
AUGUCCGACCAGCAGCCAGCUGCCCUCCACGCCCCUCCCCCUCGUCUCAUCCCUUUCCCCGCCCUCACCCUUGCCCUCCACAUCCCCAUCUUCCCCAGCAAGCGCACAAAGUCCCCUCCGCCGGCUCCCAGCCCGCCGCCGGAGGCCGUCACCGACGAGGAUAGCGAGGCGGGGGUGACCUCAGACGUGGGCGGCGUCGAGAAGUUCAACUACAUCCUCAUCCGCACCAACAUCCUCGUCUCCCACGGCCACGUCAACUUUGGCGUCGCCCCUGCCAUCAAGAAACGCCUCCCCAAAGGUGCCCACCAAUCUCAACACUUCAUCGUUGUCGGUGCUGGCCUUGCCGCGGCACGGCAUUUGCUGGCGUCCGUGAUCUUAUUGGAGGGACGCAAGAAGAUGGAAGAUGAUGGGCGCUCAGCUGCUGCAUUUGGGAACCCACUCGGGAUUGUGGCUAAGCAGCUCGGCUUGCCUUGCUGA